rnacentral:tRNA from 1 species
GCCGCCUUAGCUCAGUUGGUUAGAGCGCUAGAUUGUGGAUCUAGAGGUCACUUGUUCGAAUCAAGUAGGCGGUA